rnacentral:rRNA from 1 species
AUUGAACGCUGGCGGCAGGCCUAACACAUGCAAGUCGAGCGGAUGAAGGGAGCUUGCUCCUGGAUUCAGCGGCGGACGGGUGAGUAAUGCCUAGGAAUCUGCCUGGUAGUGGGGGAUAACGUCCGGAAACGGGCGCUAAUACCGCAUACGUCCUGAGGGAGAAAGUGGGGGAUCUUCGGACCUCACGCUAUCAGAUGAGCCUAGGUCGAAUUAGCUAGUUGGUGGGGUAAAGGCCUACCAAGGCGACGAUCCGUAACUGGUCUGAGAGGAUGAUCAGUCACACUGGAACUGAGACACGGUCCAGACUCCUACGGGAGGCAGCAGUGGGGAAUAUUGGACAAAGGGCGAAAGCCUGAUCCAGCCAUGCCGCGUGUGUGAAGAAGGUCUUCGGAUUGUAAAGCACUUUAAGUUGGGAGGAAGGGCAGUAAGUUAAUACCUUGCUGUUUUGACGUUACCAACAGAAUAAGCACCGGCUAACUUCGUG